rnacentral:lncRNA from 1 species
CAUCACGACCAGUCUUAACACACCCACCACACCCAUAAAACAUCACACACCCAUGGCGUGGUCCACUCCAACCCACAUCCACAAAGAACCCGGAUGUGAGGCGCGUGGGAUGUAAGAGAGUAUAAAAGUCGCUGUCAGUGCCACAGAAGGUAAGUGCGACAUCCUCCGCUUUCUCACCGCCACCGACUGGACACUCGCCUGCCUGCUUCAUCGCAAUGUCUCUGCCAGUUCCCUUCUCUGAGGACUUUCCAUCUCCACUGGACGUAGAUAUGAGAAUUCGAGUGAAAGCAGCAUUCAAAGACAAUGGCAAGAUAUUUACGUUUAUGCUGCUGUGUGACAAGGACUACGAGAUGGCAGACGCCUGUUAAUUAUUGAGACCGACGGCUCGCCAGAGUUGAAACUCUCUUACCGCAAAGACGGGGUCAUAGGUAAUCCUCAAGUCAUUCCAGUGGAUGAUUUGUAUACGCACAAAACAUUGGACCUGUUCAUCAGUAUGGACAGGGACUAUUUCAAGAUUACUUUCAAUAAACAGUAUACAAAGAACUACCCUUACAACUUUUCCCUGAAGAAGGUAAAGAACAUGUGGAUCGACGGAGACAUUAAUCUUUUCAGUGUCUUUCCGCAAAAUUAAGAAUAAUGUUAUCCAAGGAUAAAAUUCAAACCCUUUGCAGACCAGUAAAAUGAACUCUCGCCUAUUUGCUUUGUAAUAUUCACAUUUCUUUCACUGAUGUAAGCUACACUGCCUAAGAUAUUGUAUCAAAUAUUCAAAUACCUCUUAUGUUAUUGGCUGUUUUGCUAUCAGUAGAGUUUCUGAGAAAAGCAGAGAUAUUAGUUGAACUAUAAAAAAACGAGUUAAAUUCCUAGUUAUUUUUGGAGCAUUUCUGACGCAUAGUUUUUUCAAUUUACGAAACUGCAACAGACAUCAGUAACAGUGAAACGAUGGACAAUCAGACAGACCAGAAGAAUGAUCAACAAAGCACGACUGCUUAAUGAUUCCUUUGAAAACAAUAUCACAUGGAACUAAUAUUGCAUCAUUAUAUCCAAUAGUAUAAAAAUAUAUUGAUAUUGAUAAGGAUAUUAUGAACAUUACCCAUAAUGUGUUAGGUGUAAACAAUAUCAAAAAGUAAUAGCUUUACUUGCUUGUUUAAUUGUCUUUCUUUUCUUGCAUUCUCCCUUACUGCAAAUAAAAUGUACCUAA